rnacentral:rRNA from 1 species
AAAGCUCAAAUUUGAAAUCUGGCUGCUUUGCAGUCCGAGUUGUAAUUUCGAGAAGUGUUACCCGUGCUGGACCGUGCAUAAGUCUUCUGGAAAGGAGCAUCAUAGAGGGUGAAAAUCCCGUCUUUGGUACGGACUCCCAGUGCAUUGUGGUAUGCUCUCAACGAGUCGAGUUGUUUGGGAAUGCAGCUCAAAAUGGGUGGUAAAUUCCAUCUAAAGCUAAAUAUUGGUGUGAGACCGAUAGCGAA